CGCACGGGUGAGUAACACGUAUCCAACCUGCCGUCUACUCUUGGACAGCCUUCUGAAAGGAAGAUUAAUACAAGAUGGCAUCAUGAGUUCACAUGUUCACAUGAUUAAAGGUAUUCCGGUAGACGAUGGGGAUGCGUUCCAUUAGAUAGUAGGCGGGGUAACGGCCCACCUAGUCUUCGAUGGAUAGGGGUUCUGAGAGGAAGGUCCCCCACAUUGGAACUGAGCACGGUCCAA
rnacentral:rRNA from 1 species